UAAUCUGUCAAUUCUUUUUUAUUCCUUAACAGAUAAUGGUUUGCCAUUGCAAACCCCUGUCAGAUGGUCGAAGGGGUUGUGGAGACAAAUGUUUGAACAGGAUGCUUAACAUUGAGUGCGUUCAAGGAACGUGCCCGUGUGGUGAACUUUGUUCAAACCAACAGUUCCAGAAGCAUGAGUAUGCUAAGUUAAAGUGGUUCAGAUGUGGAAAGAAGGGAUAUGGCCUUCAGAUGGUGGAAGAUAUCGCUGAAGGACAGUUUCUUAUUGAAUAUGUUGGAGAGGUGCUUGAUAUGAAUGCUUAUGAAACACGUCAAAAAGAGUAUGCUUUGAAGGGUCAUAAGCAUUUUUAUUUCAUGACAUUGAAUGGGAGCGAGGUAAUCGAUGCAUGUGCUAAAGGAAAUUUGGGCCGUUUCAUAAAUCAUAGCUGUGAUCCUAAUUGUCGCACAGAAAAGUGGAUGGUGAAUGGAGAAGUUUGUGUUGGACUGUUUACUUUAAGGGAUAUUAAGAAGGGUGAAGAAAUCACUUUUGAUUACAAUUACGUACGUGUGGUUGGGGCUGCUGCAAAAAAGUGCGUAUGUGGUUCACCUAAUUGUCGGGGAUAUAUAGGUGGCGGCGGCGAUCCAUUAAAUGCUGAAGUAAUUGUCCAUGAUGAUUCUGAUGAAGAAUAUCCAGAGCCUGUUAUGUUUUGUGACGACAAAGAGAUGAAUUAUUAUUGGAAUGACAUAAUGAAAACUUCCUUAAAUGAUGGAGAAAACAAAUUUGUGAAGGAAACAGUAAAUGGGGAUAGGAUGGAUGAUGAAUGUCAACGUGAGGAUUUUUCUUCUGCUGCUGCUGUGCAUUUGGAUGCGAACAAACAAGCUCAAGGCUCUGCGAACAGAUCUGCAUCUGCUGGUUUGAAAGUUGAAUCUGAAGAAGCAGAACACUCCUGGUUUCAUGUGGCUACUCCUGCAUUAUCUAGGAAAUCGUUGUCUGAUGUGGUUGGAAGUAUGGAGAAAUUGGAAGCUGGUAUUGAGGGAAGAAGGGAUGAAUUAGCGAAAUCAUAUACUCUUUCAAAAACUCAUAGCCCAUCAUCUUCAGCAAAUAAGGGAAAGCUUAAAAUUAAUUCUAUGAAAGACCAAAGAAAUCCAGAUGUGGACAAGUCACUCGCAUUACCAUAUAAAUCUAAUAAAUUACUGGAACUUUCCUUGAAUAGCCAGUUUGAAGCAGUUGAAGCAAAGCUGAAUGAGUUGCUAAAUCCCGACGGUGGUAUAAGCAAGCGAAAAGAUGCAUCUAGAGGCUACUUGAAACUUCUUUUUCUAACUGCUGCUUCAGGGAAUAAUGACCAUGGUGAAGCCAUCCAGAGUAAUCGAGAUCUUUCAAUGAUUUUGGACGCACUUUUGAAGACGAAAUCACGAACUGUUCUGAUUGAUAUUAUCAACAAGAAUGGUUUGCAGAUGUUACACAAUAUAAUGAAGCGUUAUAGAAGGGAAUUCAUUAAGACUCCGAUUCUUCGAAAGCUUCUUAAGGUGCUUGAGUAUCUGGCAAUGAGGGAGAUUCUUAAUUUGGAGCACAUAAAUGGAGGCCCCCCACGUCCAGGAGUGGAGAGCUUUAGAGAUUCAAUUUUGACACUGACAGAACAUGCUGACAAACAGGUCCAUCAUAUUGCACGGAACUUUCGGGAUAGGUGGAUUCGACGGCCCAUCAGGAAAAAUUGCUGCCUGGACAGAGAUCAUGGAAGGAUGGAAUUUCAUAACAGUUCAAACUACAAUAGGUUCCCCAUUUUACAUGAUGCUUCGAGUCGUAGGAUUGGAAAACCUUCAGAAGCAAUAGACAGCUGCACUGCACCCAGUGCAGUUAUUACUGGUGCGUCAGAGGGAUCUCGUGCAUCAUGUAGUAGUGAUUGUGGUGCCAAUGGAACAAAAACACGCAAGCGUAAAAGUCGAUGGGAUAAUCCUUCAGUGUCGUACCUUCAUCCAAGAAUAAACGCGGUAGAUGAUGUAGAGCAGAACAUUGAUGAGGAUGCUCCUCCUGGAUUUAAAUCUCUGCUUAAUGCCUCGAUUGCUCCAGAUGCUUGUUCGACCGCUAUUGAUCAACAUGAAAGAGCUAUGCGUGUGAAGCAUACAUUUGAUGUCGUAUUGGGCGAAUCACAACAGAGGUUCAUUUCCCACUUGUCUGUAUCUUAUGGGGUUCCAUUUCCUAUCAUGCAGCAAUUUGGGACCCCUCAAACAGAAUCUUUUAAUGGUUGGAAUGUAGCUCCAGGAUUGCCAUUCCAUCCCUUUCCUCCAUUGCCUCCAUAUCUCCGUGGCAAGAGAGACCUACCAACCUCUGCCAAAUGUGCAUCCAUGUGUGAGGCGGCAGGACAUGCAGAACAGUGCUUUGGUAAUCAUGCCAAUCAUCCCCCAAGUCAAAACCAUACAGGCACCUGUAUGGACUUACCAUAUACGAGAGUUUCAUGUGCAAAUGUCCAUCCAGAGUUUCAUCCUGGGGGUUCUUAUGACAUAGGGAGGAAAUACUUUAGGCAGCAUAAGUGGAAUAAUUCGAAGUUAGCACCGCCAUGGAUUCGAAAUAAAAGUGGUUGGGGAUAUAUGGGGAAUGGCUCAAGAGAUAGCAUGGCUAAUGUAGGUUGUGGAAGUGGGGCAAAUGAGCAUAAGAGUACAUACAACACGCAGUAGGUCAGCAUCAAAUUGGGAUUGUUGUAGACACAAUUUAUCAGUAUUUACAAAAAUGACAUUAGCUUCAUUCAAUAGGAUGAUUUCCAAGGAGCCAUAAAAAUGAUUCAGUGCUCCUUUUAAUGUACUUACAAUUCCUUUCAGCACAGCUACAUUUGAAAUGAAAACAAUCUUCCUGAUUCAUCUAUUUGUUAGGACCGAGGUUGGUCCGAGGAAUAUAUACUGGCUUUGAUUAUGGAAGGUCAUAGCUUAAAA